rnacentral:rRNA from 1 species
UACGUAGGGGGCGAGCGUUGUCCGGAUUCAUUGGGCGUAAAGAGCUCGUAGGCGGCUUGGCAAGUCGGAUGUGAAAACUCCAGGCUCAACCUGGAGCCGCCAUUCGAUACUGCUAUGGCUAGAGUCCGGUAGGGGAGUGUGGAAUUCCGGGUGUAGCGGUGGAAUGCGUAGAGAUCCGGAAGAACACCGGUGGCGAAGGCGGCUCGCUGGGCAGUGGCUGACGCUGAGGCGCGACAGCGUGGGGAGCAAACAGG